CAGAUGAUAAAAUUUAUAAUAGACAUAUAUCAUGGGUCAUACUGGUGGGCAAAAAUGCUCCCAUUUAUUUCUAUUGACUUGCGCAAGCCCCGAAAUCCCUUGGGAUUACCACGAGUUCCAUUGACAUCUGCACUUGAUAAAAAUCAGCAAAUGCGGUUUUGCUCGACCCAAGAGAUGCUCCUUUUGCACAUUAUGACCCCCAAAUGGUAACAUUUUCUUCUCCCUUACGACAUGCAAAAAAAUACAUCCUGAUCGAUAUUCCUUGGUGAUUUGAAAUGCAUUAUACGCCAAAGAUUAACUGGAGAGCAACGAAGAAACUCUCAAAUGGUGUCAUACAGGAUGGGAAUAAAUGAUUUGGCAUGGAGCACCAUAAAUUAUUGGAAGACAGAUUUAUGUGCUGAAAUAAAGAGGAUGCUUUAAUACAAAUGAUUGGUAAGAUUAAUUUCAAGACGUUUUUAUAUGACUAAUCAUAACAGCCAGGGUGUUUUUAUGGCUGAUAAUAGCCUUUGUUUAUGUAAUUUUCAGUUUUAGGUGUUAUUAUGUUUAUUGCCUUCUUAAUUUCUGAAUGUAAGUUACAAAAUGGUUAU
rnacentral:lncRNA from 1 species